UGUCUUCAUGUAAUCAGCUAAUCUGCUUCACCUGUCUGCUGCUGCACUGGAGUGCAAUCAAUCAUGCCAUGCACCUGUUUUUCUGCAGUUAUAUUCAGCCCUCAGACAGGCAGACGGUGCCAGAUUUUCGAAAACCUACCAGUUAGUAGAAGUCCAGCAUUCCUUCCUGCCUGACCACGUUUUUUGACCACUUUUUGCAUCUUGGAUUUCCCUGUCUUGCUUGACCCUCAUUGGAUGUCUCUCGCCUCUGGAUUACGACCUUGUUUCUGCCUCUCGACCAAAGCCUCCUGCUUCGCCCCAGGAUUUGUCUGCCUGAGUCUGCCUCCCUGGUUUCACCCAGUUACUGCCCUCCCUUGACCACCGAGUCUUGGAUCUUUCCCCCUGUCGGCAAUCCGACUUCUGGCUGCGGCGUGUUCUGCACCGACCCCCCCAGUCUGGAGAUCGCCAGGACCGCACCCCGCAAAGGAGCCUAUUCUGAUUCCUCCGUCCUACACGGACUCUGUUAAGUGAUCCUGGGUCCCCGGCUGGUGGAGUCCUGAGUAUCUGUGCGCUGCUCCUGAAUAAAUCUUUUAACUUUUAUUCUGUUUCUGGCUGAAAUUCUGGGUCCUCCGUCCUGAACCUCACAACUUCAGUGUGAAACCUCCACCAGUAGAACCAGCUUUACACUCUGGGCUGCAGCAUGUGGACUCCCAGCACGGUCAGAGCCAGAACCUCCAGCAGAACCUCAGGUGGUCGGUCCCAGCUGUUGCUCAGCUCUGUCAGCGUCUCAUCGCAGGAACAGAGGAGCUCAGCUGCCCAGCGCAGCUCCCCGUCCUGCUGCAAUGGGGCAGGUGGAGACUCUGGGAGACAGGCUUCACCUUUGUCCUUCAGGCUGUCCACCUGGAGACACGUGGAGACAGACAGAGGCAGGUGAACAGGCAGAAAGACAUGAAGAAAAGUAGAGACACACUGAAACAUGGAGAAAGAUGGAGACAAAGACAAUGUCCCACAGUCUAACCCUAACUUUGGUCAUUUAGUCCCUCUGAUGUCUUUAUGUCAUAGUUUCACUCAUUUUCUUCUCUCAUUUAAAUAUCUUCAGGUUUGUUUGUAUUUCUGGAGUUUAGACAAACUAAAAAUAAAAAAUAAAAUGUU